GGUGACUGAUUGGGGAGUGGUGAUUUUCACCUGUGAAGGUGGAAGGAGAGAAAAUAACAGGAUACAGGAACAGGAAAUAUACAAGAUAUCUGAAAAUGUGAUGAAAGUGCAAAUUGUUCGACCUCUGGAGCCCAAGACCAGAGAGGAGUUCUUAGAAUAUUCCUACGAACUCAUGGUGGAUCCUAACUCAGCAUGUGGAACACUGCAUCUGUCUGAGAAGAACAGCAAGGUGACAUGGAGUGAAGGGGAGACUCAAGCCUAUCCUGAUCAUCCAGACAGAUUUACCCACUGUGACCAAGUGCUGUGUAGAGAGGGUUUAUCUGGAAACUGCUACUGGGAGGCUGAGCUUCGAGGCUGGAUUACUGUGGCAGUCUCAUAUGUGGCUCUUGUGAGGAAAGGAGAGGGUAAUGAGUGUAGGUUUGGAGGUAAUGAUCAUUCUUGGAGUUUGGAAUGCUCUCCCACCAGUUGUUCUUUCCUUCAUGAUAAUGUUAAGACUAAAAUACGAUCCCAUUGCACCUCCAGAGUAGGCGUGUACCUGGACUACAAGGCAGGAACUCUGUCCUUUUACAGCAUUUCUAAAAAAAGUGACCCUCCUCCACAGAGUGAAUAACACAUUCACUGAACCCCUCUAUCCUGGUUUUGGGGUUGGUUUGGAAUCAUCUGUGAGGAUAAUGCUUCCCAUGCAGUCAACAUGAUUUUUCUGUGUUUUAUAUAUAUUUCCACACUAUGAGGUUAGAAAAAUACUGUGAAAUUGUGAACUGCAUCUCAGUGCGAGGCGUCACCACAGACCCUGGUUCAUUUCUAGGCUGUAUCACAGCCGGCCGUGAUUAGGAGUCCCAUAGGGCAGCUCACAAUUUGCCCAGCGUCAUCCGGGUUAGGGUUUGGCCAGGGUAGGCCGUCAUUGUAAAUAAUAAUUUGUUCUUAACUGACUUGCCUAGUGAAAAAAAGGUUGAAUUAAAAAAAAUAUAUAAACAUUUUUAGUAUAAAAGUUGUUUGAAAAGACCUGACAUUUCAGCCUGUUUUGGGGGAAUGGAGUUUUGGCCUGCCUGGUGUUAUCUGCAGCUCUUACACUAUAAAAGGGCAUCAUCAUAAUUUUCACAGUAUUAUUCCAACCUCAUAGUAUGGAAAUAUAAACACUGGGUGCACAAAACAUUAGGAACAUCUUCCUAAUAUUGAGUUGCACCCACCUUUUCCCUCAGAACAGCCUCAAUUCGUUGGGGCAUUGACUGGAAAGCGUUCCACAGGGAUGCUGGCCCAUGUUGAUUCCAAUUCUUCCCACAGUUGUGUCAAGUUUGCUGGAUGUCCUUUGGGUAGUGGAACAUUCUUGAUACACACAGGAAACUGUUGAGCGUGAAAAACCCAGCAGUGUUUUUUAAAUUUAAUUCAGUCUGGUAUGAGAACGGUAGCCCCUAACCGCAAAAGCAGGGUGUCUGCGGAAAGCCUAAGUAUGACUUACUACCAUAUAUGGGCAUACAUAUUUAUAAUGCAGGCUGAGCCGAUGACCUCAUUUCAAGAUGGCUGCUAACUACAUUCCGGUUAGCAUUGUGAAGCAUAAACAAAAUUAUCACAGAAUACAUUGAUACACACCAAAAGCCUGGACUCCACAGCUCAUGAGGAUAUCUUAUUUGUCUCCCUGUGACCUACCGUUAUUGAUCACCAGCCCCGAGAAUCAAAAUGUUUAUUUUACACAACGUUUUUACCAAACAUCUUACAAAGUAAACUCAAUUUGGUCUGUGUUUACGCUAUAGCGACACGGGGAGGGGGGUGUAUCAAAUGAAUGCUUAGGUUGGUAGGAACAAAGCCUAUUGCCAAUGUUAUCGGAUGUAUUACUUAAUGUCAACAUCGAAUGUCCACUGAGUGACUAUCUUUGCGCAUCAAAAAGAUGACGUUGCCUGCUUACGUGCUGUAGGCAUCUAUAUCCGCUGUAUGUCACCCGACACCAUGUCGUAUAAUUGUUUUUUUUAUAGUGAACAAUAACUUUUUGGCACAUCCAGUGUGCAAAAACAGUGCAAGUACCACAUUCGGACACUUUGGAGAAGUUGAAAGAACCCUUGAAUGUACCCUGGAUACGCUUGAUAUGUUGAUAUGGUAGAAAAUCUGUUUUUUUUACGGAACAAAUAGCAUUUAGGGAUUGCAAUUAUGUAAUAGCACUGGAAAUGUCUCAUUUACAUUUAUAUGCCACUUUGGAGAGGUUUAGGUAAAGUUGGAAACAUCCCGUGACCACACCUGACCACUUACUAAAACGUCUGCCCAUUUCUAGUUGUUAGGUCUAUUAAUCCCAUUUUUUUCUCAUAUGGUUCACAUGUUGUGGAAGCCAUCUGUGUUUCCAGCUCUAGUCACCAAUAAUUAACCUAUGGCUUGUCAAUAAAAGAUGACUUUCAAA